rnacentral:tmRNA from 1 species
GGGGCUGAUUCUGGAUUCGACGGGAUUCACCCAAGGUGCAUGCCGAGGGGCGGUUUGCCUCGUUAAAAGCCGCAAAAAAAUAGUCGCAAACGACGAAAACUACGCUUUAGCAGCUUAAUAACCUGCUUAGAGCCCUCUCUCCCUAGCCUCCGCUCUUAGGACGGGGAUCAAGAGAGGUCAAACCCAAAAGAGAUCGCGUGGAUGCCCUGCCUGGGGUUGAAGCGUUAAAACUAAUCAGGCUAGUCUGUCAGUGGCGUGUCUGUCCGCAGCUGCCAGGCGAAUGUAAAGACUGACUAAGCAUGUAGUACCGAGGAUGUAGGAAUUUCGGACGCGGGUUCAACUCCCGCCAGCUCCACCA